rnacentral:rRNA from 1 species
CGGGACACGUGGUAUCCUGUCUGAAUAUGGGGGGACCAUCCUCCAAGGCUAAAUACUCCUGACUGACCGAUAGUGAACCAGUACCGUGAGGGAAAGGCGAAAAGAACCCCGGCGAGGGGAGUGAAAAAGAACCUGAAACCGUGUACGUACAAGCAGUGGGAGCACGCUUAGGCGUGUGACUGCGUACCUUUUGUAUAAUGGGUCAGCGACUUAUAUUCUGUAGCAAGGUUAACCGAAUAGGGGAGCCGAAGGGAAACCGAGUCUUAACUGGGCGUUAAGUUGCAGGGUAUAGACCCGAAACCCGGUGAUCUAGCCAUGGGCAGGUUGAAGGUUGGGUAACACUAACUGGAGGACCGAACCGACUAAUGUUGAAAAAUUAGCGGAUGACUUGUGGCUGGGGGUGAAAGGCCAAUCAAACCGGGAGAUAGCUGGUUCUCCCCGAAAGCUAUUUAGGUAGCGCCUCGUGAAUUCAUCUCCGGGGGUAGAGCACUGUUUCGGCAAGGGGGUCAUCCCGACUUACCAACCCGAUGCAAACUGCGAAUACCGGAGAAUGUUAUCACGGGAGACACACGGCGGGUGCUAACGUCCGUCGUGAAGAGGGAAACAACCCAGACCGCCAGCUAAGGUCCCAAAGUCAUGGUUAAGUGGGAAACGAUGUGGGAAGGCCCAGACAGCCAGGAUGUUGGCUUAGAAGCAGCCAUCAUUUAAAGAAAGCGUAAUAGCUCACUGGUCGAGUCGGCCUGCGCGGAAGAUGUAACGGGGCUAAACCAUGCACCGAAGCUGCGGCAGCGACGCUGAUGCGUUGUUGGGUAGGGGAGCGUUCUGUAAGCCUGUGAAGGUGUGCUGUGAGGCAUGCUGGAGGUAUCAGAAGUGCGAAUGCUGACAUAAGUAACGAUAAAGCGGGUGAAAAGCCCGCUCGCCGGAAGACCAAGGGUUCCUGUCCAACGUUAAUCGGGGCAGGGUGAGUCGACCCCUAAGGCGAGGCCGAAAGGCGUAGUCGAUGGGAAACAGGUUAAUAUUCCUGUACUUGGUGUUACUGCGAAGGGGGGACGGAGAAGGCUAUGUUGGCCGGGCGACGGUUGUCCCGGUUUAAGCGUGUAGGCUGGUUUUCCAGGCAAAUCCGGAAAAUCAAGGCUGAGGCGUGAUGACGAGGCACUACGGUGCUGAAGCAACAAAUGCCCUGCUUCCAGGAAAAGCCUCUAAGCAUCAGGUAACAUCAAAUCGUACCCCAAACCGACACAGGUGGUCAGGUAGAGAAUACCAAGGCGCUUGAGAGAACUCGGGUGAAGGAACUAGGCAAAAUGGUGCCGUAACUUCGGGAGAAGGCACGCUGAUAUGUAGGUGAAGCGACUUGCUCGUGGAGCUGAAAUCAGUCGAAGAUACCAGCUGGCUGCAACUGUUUAUUAAAAACACAGCACUGUGCAAACACGAAAGUGGACGUAUACGGUGUGACGCCUGCCCGGUGCCGGAAGGUUAAUUGAUGGGGUCAGCGCAAGCGAAGCUCUUGAUCGAAGCCCCGGUAAACGGCGGCCGUAACUAUAACGGUCCUAAGGUAGCGAAAUUCCUUGUCGGGUAAGUUCCGACCUGCACGAAUGGCGUAAUGAUGGCCAGGCUGUCUCCACCCGAGACUCAGUGAAAUUGAACUCGCUGUGAAGAUGCAGUGUACCCGCGGCAAGACGGAAAGACCCCGUGAACCUUUACUAUAGCUUGACACUGAACAUUGAGCCUUGAUGUGUAGGAUAGGUGGGAGGCUUUGAAGUGUGGACGCCAGUCUGCAUGGAGCCGGCCUUGAAAUACCACCCUUUAAUGUUUGAUGUUCUAACGUUGACCCGUGAUCCGGGUUGCGGACAGUGUCUGGUGGGUAGUUUGACUGGGGCGGUCUCCUCCUAAAGAGUAACGGAGGAGCACGAAGGUUGGCUAAUCCUGGUCGGACAUCAGGAGGUUAGUGCAAUGGCAUAAGCCAGCUUGACUGCGAGCGUGACGGCGCGAGCAGGUGCGAAAGCAGGUCAUAGUGAUCCGGUGGUUCUGAAUGGAAGGGCCAUCGCUCAACGGAUAAAAGGUACUCCGGGGAUAACAGGCUGAUACCGCCCAAGAGUUCAUAUCGACGGCGGUGUUUGGCACCUCGAUGUCGGCUCAUCACAUCCUGGGGCUGAAGUAGGUCCCAAGGGUAUGGCUGUUCGCCAUUUAAAGUGGUACGCGAGCUGGGUUUAGAACGUCGUGAGACAGUUCGGUCCCUAUCUGCCGUGGGCGCUGGAGAACUGAGGGGGGCUGCUCCUAGUACGAGAGGACCGGAGUGGACGCAUCACUGGUGUUCGGGUUGUCAUGCCAAUGGCACUGCCCGGUAGCUAAAUGCGGAAGAGAUAAGUGCUGAAAGCAUCUAAGCACGAAACUUGCCCCGAGAUGAGUUCUCCCUGACUCCUUGAGAGUCCUGAAGGAACGUUGAAGACGACGACGUUGAUAGGCCGGGUGUGUAAGCGC